CUAUUUUUUUAGAUGUUUAUCUGUAUCUCUGCAGUGGACUGCAGCAUGUUGGAUUGAAUUUUUUAGAUUUUUUGAAAAUUACUUUUUUUUUUGCUAGCCUUUAAAAUGGAACAUAUUUAGGCUUAUGUGUAGGCUUUAAUACUUUAAUAGAAUAAGAUUCUAAUGGGAAUAUUAAUGUUUCAGCUGUAGAAUAUGGAUAUAAAUAAUGAUUCAUUGAUAAAAUUGAUUCAAUUGAGACAAUUGAUUGGGCAACAGAGCUAGGCAGGCCUUAGAGUGGAACCCCCAGGGAACAAGACGGAGAGGAAGACCAAAAAGAACAUGGCGACGCAGUGUACUUGAAGAAGCAGAGAAGACCGGGAAGAGCUGGGACACCAUCAAAAAGCUAGCAAGAGACCGUGGAGAGUGGCGUGUUUUUGUCGAGGCCCUAUGUUCCAUGAGGAACUCAAAGGAGUGAUGAUGAUGAAAUGAAAACACAUGGCCUCUUUGCCCUUAAAUAUAACAAAUAUAGGUUAGGGGUACAAAUAUAAGUAGUCAUCCUUAUUCUCCUUAAACUUAAACUAAAGAAGAUUUUGAUACUUAUUUCUUUUCUAUGUCGAAACAUUGUCAAAUAAUGCGCUGUCAAAGUCAAACUUUGAAAUUUUAGCCUAUAGGUGUCCAAAUAGCAUAAACUACUCUAGAUCUAGUUUAUAAAAGAUCUAUUAUAAUUUAUUAUUAUUUAUAUAAAAUAUAUUACUAUAGAUCUAGACAAUCACAAUAGUCAUUAUUAUCAUAAUCAUUAUACUAUGACUAUCUCACACUAUCUGUCUAUACUAUUAGUCUGAGUAUAGUCACUAGACUAUACUUAAUUAUAAUACAAAAAUAGUAUGACUAUCUCACACUAUCUGAGUAUCUGUCUAUACUAUUUGUCUGACUAUACCAUCACUAUUGUCACUAGACUAUACUUAAUUAAAAUACUACUAUUUUAUACUAUAUUUUUUCAUACUAAAUAAAAUUAUAAUAUAGUUAAUGGACUUCAUUCACCAAUCGUAAACAAACAACAUUUAGCCACGUGAUUAUCUAUAUCCUCUAUACAAAGUAUGCCAUCCAUAGUGGCUGUCACGUGAUACAUAUUUUUUUAUUGUUUUAUCAAUAUUAUGCCAUGGCUAAAUGUGUUUAUUUACGAUUGGUGAAUGAGGUCCAUUAAUAUUAUUUAUACUAUAUUUUUAUAUUAUAGAGUCUAUACUUUAUUAAAUUAUAGUUACACUACUAACUAGUUAUAGAUCUAGACAAUGUAGUCAUCUAGUCAGUAGAUCUAUGUUAUACACAUUAUAAUAGUAUUAUAAUUAUACCGUUUAGUCAGUUUAGUAUAGAUUUCUAUAGAUCUAGAUCUAAUCAAUCUAAUCUAUCUCUAGAGAUCUAUAUAUUAUUAUAUAAUAGAUCUAGUCUAUAUUAAUCCUUUCACCACUAAACAGUUGUCAGAAACUAUCUAUCACCAAAGACAGGCUUAAGAGAAGGGAUAUAUAACUCUCAGGGUUCGUAGCGCUCCUAAAAACUCCUAAAAUCUCCUAAAAAAUGAAAAGUCUCCUAAAAUCCUAAAAUUCUCCUAAAAAUUGCCGAAAGUCUCCUAAAAUUUUGUCCACUCUCCUAAAAUUUUUACCUAAUAUUUUUUUUAAAAUAUAAUUUUGCUUAUUUCUUGCUAAAAAUGUGAGGAGAAAAACAACAGCGUAACUAGGCAUUCUGAUUGCAUGGCCUUACGGGCUGGCUGUGUUAAUGAGCUGACCAGUGACGCGUCUACACCGCCUUUCACCCACUUGUGAAGCGCGACCUCGUGAUUGAAGAUGGCCUUGGCUCAAGCAAGCAUUUCACCUGGCAAUAUUUUUCUGAAGUCAUUUAUUGUUACACUAAAGACGCGCUAGAUCUUGUCUGUAGGGACUAUUGCCUAUAAUUAGAGUAAUUACAAGACUAAUUUGUAGGCUACACUCCUCCGGGCCCUCCCUCACCUAAAAUCUUCUUGUUGUAAGUGUAAGACUAAGAGUGACUUCGCGUGGAAAGUCCGUAAAUCUUCUAGAUCUAGCUAGUAUCUAGUAACUGUAAUAGUAUCUAGAUUUAGAUUUAGAUCUAGUGAAGAUAAUUCGCACCUAACCUGAAAACUCCGUGAAUUUUUGUCAAUUUAAUGAUCUCGAUACAUCUAAUGUCUAGAAAUACGCUAGAUUCUAGAUUUACGCUAAAUCACUUUGAGUCUAGUGAAGAUAAUUAGCACAAAGAAGUGAAAAGACCGCAAAUUUAGACUCUAGAUCUACGGUAUAUCCAGUGAAGAUAAUUCGCAUACUGCCGCGAAAAGUCCGCAAAUGUUAGUGACUUAGAUCUAGACUUUAGAUCUACGGUAUAUUCAGUGAAGAUAAUUCGCACACAGCCGUGAAAAGUCCGCGAAUUUUAGUGACUUAUGUCUAGACUCUAGAUUUACUCUAAAUCACUAGAAUCUAGUGAAGAUAAUUCUCACACAGACGUGAAAAGUCCGCAAAAUUUAGUGACUUAGAGUUAAAGUCCGCGAAUUUUAGCGAAUUAGCUUUAUAGUCUAGAUCUUCUGUAAAUUUAGUGAAGAUAAUAUUCACACAGCAGUGAAAAGUCCGCGAAUUUUCGUGACUUUGAUCUAGACUCUAGAUUUACGCUAAAUCACUAGAAUAUAUAUAGUGAAGAUAUUUCUCUCACAUCCCUGAAAAGUCCCCGAAUUUUAGUGACUUACAUCAAGAGUCUAGAUCUACUGUAAAUUCAGUGAAGAUAAUUCUCUCACAGCCAUGAAAAGUCCGCGAAUUUUAGCGACUUAGAUCAAGAGUCUAGAUCUACUGUAGAUUUAACGAAAAUAUUUCUCAUACAGCUGUGAAAAGUCCGUAAAAAUUAUUUCACUCGUAAAAAGCCAGGGAAACUAUAUGGUUGAAAAUGAUUCUGCUAGGAAAAAAAACUUGAAUAGGUCUAAAUCCCCCCCCCCCCAUACCAAUCCAAAAGCCAUUUUUUAGUAAGCAAAUGUCAAGUAAACAUUCAAAUAGGCCAAUAUUGCCCUAUAUAUUACUGGCUCUGUUAUGAAAAGGAUUUAAGUUAACUAAUAGAAGAAAAAAAACAUUACCUCAAAUGCACACCAUGACUCUAGUAUCUAUAAGAUACACAUAGGAACUAAAAAUGUACAUUUCCAUCACAGAGAAUAUACAUCAUGAAUAAGGCAUCUCUAAGAAUGUUUCUCAUUUUAAAAAAAAAUGGAAAAGUAACCAUUUGUAAUGUUUUUAAAUAAAUCUUUGAAAAAAAAAAUGGUUGUUUGAGGUUUUGGGAUGACAGUCAAGUUGUUACUAGAUUAAAAGACAACUUUCAUUACAUUUUCUGUGGACAUACCACAGCUGAUAACAUUGUUUCUGUGGCAUAUUGGCAAGAUAUUUAUUAUUUUAAAAGUCAAAUAACAAUAAUUGAUUUGAUAAAUGCUUAGUUUUGUGUAUGUUUUACUAUGUAUCACACAAACGGAUAGGAAACACACACACACAUCAUACAUUUCAUCCUUAAAAAACCUCCUAAAAUCUCCUAAAAUUUUGUCAUGGAAAAGUGCUACUAACCCUGAACUCUGUAUCAGUUAUUUUAAAAAAUCAAUUUUAUGACUAAUUUCACAGGAAAAAACUAAUUAGAUCUAAUAAAACCUAACAAAAAUGUCAAAAACAUUCUUUUUAUAAUAGAAAAAAAUACAAUAGAGUCGACCUAGGAAUACUGUUCAGAGUUGUAUAACUUUGAAAUCUCAGGAGAUCCAGAGAUACUAAAUGUCCCGGCAGUUUCCAACAUUGAUGACUAUCCGAUUCUUCGCUCAGAAGUAGCAGCAGCAGUAAAAACCCUGAAAAAGGGAAAAUCAGCUGGAGUUGACAACAUUCCUGACGAACUUCUUCAGGCGGGAGGAAAAACUAUGAUAAACGCACUCUAUAUGAUUUGCAACAAGGUCUGGCAAUCAGGAGAUUGGCCCAAACCCUGGACCCAAUCACUCAUAAUAAUCUUCCAAAGAAAGGCAACUUACAACUCUGUCAAAACUAUCGCACCAUCAGCCUCAUAAGUCAUCCCAGCAAAGUACUGUUAAAAAUCAUAUUAAACCGGCUAAAACUGAUAGCAGACAACAUCAUAUCAGAGGAACAAGCAGGUUUUAGACAAGGUCACAGCACAACAGAGCCAAUCCUAAACCUCAGAAUACUCUGUGAGAAAUAUCUCCAACACCAAGAGAAUCUUUUCCAUGUCUUUAUUGAUUUCAAGAAAGCUUUCGAUCGAGUAUGGCACGGAGCACUCUGGGCGACAAUGGAAAAGUACAACAUUAAUAAAAACAUAAUCAAAGUUAUCCAGAACCUCUACAAGGAUGCCACCAGUGCGGUGUACUUCAACAAUAAUAUUGGGGACUGGUUCAAAACCACAGUUGGAGUAAGACAAGGCUGCUGUCACCAACACUCUUCAAUAUCUUUCUUGAAAGGAUAAUGGAAGAUGCCCUCGAGGGCUAUGAAGGUACUGUAAGCGUUGGAGGAAGAAGAAUUACUAACUUGCGCUUCGCAGAUGACAUUGACUGCCUAGCAGGGACAGAAGAAGAACUAGCUGUCCUGGUGAUGCGCAUUGACAAGACUGCCGCAGCAUAUGGCAUGCAAAUAAAUGCCGAAAAAACUCAAAUUAUGGCCAAUAGCCAUCAGGGCUUUAAAAGAGGCUUCAGUAUUGGAGGUGAAAAGCUAACCAGUGUUAACAGCUUCAAAUACCUCAGAGCUAUUGUCUCAGAUGAGGGAACAAAACCCGAAUUAUUGGCCAGAAUAGCACAGUCCACAGCAGCCCUUUUGAAACUUAAAAUAAUAUGGAAAGAUAAGGGCUUAGCCCUCAGCACCAAAAUCAGACUGAUGCGCUCUCUGGUCAUGGCCACAUUUUUAUAUGCUUGCGAGUCAUGGACGUUGAAUGCAGAGCUUGAGAGGAGGAUCCUAGCAAUGGAAUUGAGAUGCUACAGAAGGAUCCUAGGCAUCACAUUCAAAGACCGCAUCACAAACCAAGAAAUCAGAGACAGGGUUACUGUAGCGAUCGGAGCCCAUGAUGACCUGCUAACUAUUGUGAAAAGACGAAAGCUUAAAACCUUUGGCCACAUUACAAGAUCUACGGGGCUCGCAAAGACCUUCCUUCAGGGAACAGUGCCCGGGAAAAGAAGAAGAGGCAGACAGAAAAAAACGAUGGGAGGACAACAUUAAAGAAUGGACAGGCCUGCCAUUGAGAGAGGUUUUAAACAAGGAAAAAAAAAAAGGGAGGAAUGGAGAAACAGUCGACAAAUCUUGCCUGGUGCCCCAACGGUCCAACAGACUAAGGGAUAGGUAAAGGUAAAAAAGUAGGUCUAGAUCUAGGCAUUUAACUACAUUCAAUGUACCAAGCUCACUACAAACAUUUGCCCAUUUAUUCUCUAUGAAAAAAACAAACAAACAAAUAUAAUAUAAGAUCAUUAACAUUGAUGUCCAAAACUGGCUGUCUGAAAUAAAUUUUGGUAAGAAAAUCGUAAUUUAAUUCAAACACCCUAUUAUUUUUGUUGUAUAAAAUCAAACAACUUGGCUUAUGAAUCAAAUAAAACAGCUCCAAAAAACAGAAUAAGUAUUGCCGGGCUCAUUAGCUUAGACUUAGCCAACCAAAAAAUAUAGUCUUAACCCUAGGAAGAGGUAAAGUCAUCCGGGUAACAUAGGAAAAAACAAAAACCUGAUGUAGACAUUUGAAAUUCUUUUUUCUUUUACAUAAAAAGACAACUAAAUGGAAGGAAAUUGGGUCAGAAUCAUUGGAAAUGGACAUGCUAGUUUCAUAUUAAAUAUAUCAAAAAAAAGAUUUAAUGACCACAAAAACAGCUAGUGUCUGAAUUCAUGUAAUGUCCGGAUUAAAUAAACUACUCUAGAUAUUAUAUUAGAUCUAUAUUACAUUAUUAGUAUAUAGAUUCUAGUUUCUAGAUCUAUCUCUCUCUAUAUAUAUUUAUAUCUCUAGAUCUAGUAUUUGUGGAUGGCUGCCUGGUCGUGCGGUUUGCGCACUCGACUGUCAUUUGAAUUUAUUGAUGGUCAUGGGCUCAAACCAUGCCCACUCCUGCAGGAGGUCUUCACGUCUGAACAAACUAUGAAUCUAGAUCUAUAUGGUGACUAUGACUAUGAGUAAACUAAGGGACAGUCUACUAGAGUCUAGAUCGGAAUCUAGAUCAAGUAUUACAGUAAGACUACGGUAUUAGUGACAGUAAGAAAGCCAAAGUGCUGCCUGUAAUCCUGUAUUGUUUCAUGAUUUAGAAUCUUAGUGCAUCCAGAAAUCCAGUCCAUUCCUGUAUGAUUUAUGUAUAUGUUGAUCAAGUCAUGUAUAUUUAUCACAUAUGAUGUCAAGAUGAUGAAAUUUAUCACUACAUCUAGAUCUUAUUUAACCUAUUUAAUACAAAAUAGUUAUUUUGAAAGAAAUACUGUUAAAAGACAUCGUAAAAUAUGAAUAGAGCAAAUAUUUUUAUUUUUUUUAAUGUCAUUAUUUUUCAGUCAUUUUGCAGGAAACACUGUCCAUCCAUCCAUCCCAAUGGCACUACAGCCCAUGGAGGGCUUUAGCUGGCUUCAACACAUCCCUCCAUUCAGAUCUCUCCUUAGCCUUUUAUCUCCGUCACUAUCUGUGGGUCUUCAUACAAUUGAUAUAUCUCAUGCACAUACAGCUCAAUUUACUUCUAUUGGCUGGAAAUAUUUAAAGCAUGACAGUGGCGUAGGUAAAUUACCAAAUAGUGGAUCUUAUGUUGGAUUGAUCAGCCCUGAUGAACUGACCUGACCAUUGUAAUUGAAACCAUAACUCAUGACCACUCUAUCUGUAUAGGUCCUGGUAUACCCUGGGAUGAUGUUCACCCACAACUUUUAACUUGAAAUCUUAAAGGAAGUUUUGCUAAACUAACAAGCAUGAAUGUCUGGUACAGUAAGAUAGGGUUAAUGGUCAACCUGACAUUAUGGUUCAUUCAUUGGGACAGCUAAUGUUUGUGUCUGGCUUGAUGAAGUCUACAAACUGACCACUAUAUCUACUGGACAAAAAGGAUCAUAUUCUGACCCCGUCCCUCCCAACCAUUUCCUCUGCCUCAUCUUGAUGACUUUGAAGGGUACAAAUGCACUUGGAGCUUUUGAUGGUGUUCUGUUCAAUGCAACUAUUCCCACAUCUCCAGCAGCUGGCUUUGCAGCUAUUGGCGCAGACAGCUAUGGCUUGGAUGAUUUUGAUAAUUAUCUGCUUCCGCUCUUCAAAACUCAAACGCACGUCUGCCAUGUUGCAGUUAAUUCCUUGCCACUCUGGUACUGUGUGUGGUACAGAACCACCUUCACAUUUAUUUUUCUAAUUAGACAUUAAGCUUUCCAUGUGCUGAAAUUUAGCAUUGUAGAACCAUAACUAUUAACCUUUUAGAUUGUUAUCUUUCGUAAUGUUAAGACUAGAAAACAAGAUCUCAAAAUUAUAUUUAGGACGAGGAUUACAAUUACUUAGUCAAUUACUUAGAUAAAAUAAUUAUAAAACAACGCAAAAGUUAUAUAAAGACAUAAUUAUACAAUGUUUAUGUUUUGUAUGUUCAUAAAAAUGUGUAUAGCAUUGUUAUGGAGUGUGUGUGUGGGUGUUUCCAAGGUAACGUUGAGAAAUUAGCGAUUGGUUGGUGGAUAUGCAGUGAGGAUGGUGAAAUUACAAAAAUGGUCUAGUGUAAUGCAAAUUACCCAGGGAUCUGAAACUGUACAGACAGGUUUUUUGUAGUGAGUUAGAUUUUGUUUAAAAUACCAUUUUAUGUUAUUGCUACUAGAUUUUUUUCAUUUCAUCUAGGUUAGUAUUAGGGUUAGUGUUAUGUUGUAAUAAAAGUUAUAUUUAGUUUUGUUUCAAAAAAGAAGUUUUUUCAAGUUUCACAGUUAAAUCUAUAUAUAUAUAUAUAUCCAAGCAGUAGUUCUCACCAAACUUUCAUACACUGGCAGAACUACCUUAAAAAAAUGUUCUGCUGGAGGCUGGUGUGGGUAGUAUAGAAGAAAUGCUUAUCAUUCAACAGCUGUGAUGGGUUGGAAAAUUAUCCCACAUGGGGGGCGACUGCAUGCCAAAUGGUAUCUUCAAGGAUGACGUAACGGGGUGCUCCUGUAAGCACUAUAAAGAUUAACUCAGGCACCUUUUUGCCAUAGAGGAAAGUAGGUUGUAAUAGGGUUUAUGAAAACACUGCACCAAUCUUUUAUCUUCAGCAUCAUUAUUAUUAUUAAACCAUUACUCAAAUUUUGCUUUGUUAUUUUGCCAUGUAGAGAUUUACUGCCGGGGUGAACAAUGCUUAAAAAAAAUACAAAUAUGCUGUGUUUUUACUUUGGCCCAGCGGUGGCUCCCACAUUUAUGUCUUUUGUAUUUUUCUAUACCAGUUCUGUUACUGUGCAAAUGCAAAAAAAAAAAAAAAAAUACAAGUUGUUGCACUAUUGAUAUUUUUUAUACUAAUUUUUUAUUUAUAUUAUUAAUUAUUUAUUAUUAUGUAAGCAUCUGUUUGUAUUUGAGCUGGGUAAUGAAUAUAGAUUCUUAAA